UACAGAGGGGGCAAGCGUUGUUCGGAAUUACUGGGCGUAAAGGGCGCGUAGGCGGCCUUCUAAGUCGAACGUGAAAUCCCCGGGCUCAACCCGGGAACUGCGUCCGAUACUGGAAGGCUUGAAUCCGGGAGAGGGAUGCGGAAUUCCAGGUGUAGCGGUGAAAUGCGUAGAGAUCUGGAGGAACACCGGUGGCGAAGGCGGCAUCCCGGACCGACACUGACACUGAGGAGCGAAAGCCAGGGGAGCAAACGGG
rnacentral:rRNA from 1 species